AAUAAUGGGCGAGUCGAUUGAGAUCGGUGAGGUGCGUGGUGUGUGAACCGCUCGAGACAAGUCUUUUUGGGUUGACCGCGUACCCAGUGAGCGUAAUUUUCACUGGUACGCGAUCAUUAACGUACGGGAUAAGUAUGUGUGGUGUGUGCAACCGCUCGAGACAAGAUCUUUUUGGGUUGACCACGUACAGUGAAAAUCACGCUCACUGGUGCGCGGUCAUUAACGUGCGGUGAGGUUAAUUGUUUAGUGUAUGCAACCGCUCGAGACCAUCUACCUGUGUUACUGCAACACGGUCUUUUAUGCAGCUCUGUUGACUGGAUUAUUCCUGGGAAGAACAAAUUACUUGGUAUCAUUAAUUAAAUUGAGGAAUUGUCGAUUGUCUUUUUGGGUUGACCAGUGUGGAGUACCAGUGAGAAUUACGUUCACAGCUAUUACGCUGUCAUGAUAAAAAUCUGGACAGGAUUUAAGAAAAGAAGGUCCUUCUUAGUGACAUAAUAGUCGAUUUGUAUUCAUCCAAUAAGCUCACAAGACGCAUUGGCAGGUGCCAAGCAGAUUCACAUAUUUGAUAGGAUAGCUGAUGAAACCAUCUCCUGGAUACAGGAGAAGGAAGCGGCUCACAGCUCGGACGACUACGACCAAGAUUUAGAAGCGAGUCAAGCACUGGUAAGGAAGCAUCAAGGAUUCGAAACUGAUUUGGCAGCUGUGAAGGAACAAGUGGAGAGCGGUUAUUAGACAAUUCUCAUCGUGCGCCACAUGACGAACUUAACGACUCAGUCGACAAACAUGAGUCUGCGAAUAUGUUAUCUCCGCUGAAAGGUGCUACUGCUUCGGAAACAAUAGAACCUGCGACAUCUCAGAAGCCAUUUGGUUUAACACACAUGUUAGGCGAAAGAUUAAGACGAGAUAUGAAAAAGGACAUGUUCUCGAAGACAAGUUAAAGUCAGGGAGUUGAUAAGGUUCCUCAUCAUUCAAGUACAAUUUGAAAUAGGAGUAUCACAUAUAGUUUUUAAAAAUCAUUGUAAUCGCAAAUUGAAUCAUCAGGAUCUGGGUACAAUUGAAUGCAGCAGUUUCUCUACUGAAGUAGUUCAAUAUUUAAGUUUCAAUAAAUGCCAUGUGUAACA
rnacentral:lncRNA from 13 species